UACGAAGGGGGCUAGCGUUGCUCGGAAUUACUGGGCGUAAAGGGCGCGUAGGCGGAUAGUUUAGUCAGAGGUGAAAGCCCAGGGCUCAACCUUGGAACUGCCUUUGAUACUGGCUAUCUUGAGUACGGGAGAGGUGAGUGGAACUCUGAGUGUAGAGGUGAAAUUCGUAGAUAUUCGGAAGAACACCAGUGGCGAAGGCGACUCACUGGCCCGUUACUGACGCUGAGGCGCGAAAGCGUGGGGAGCAAACAGG
rnacentral:rRNA from 1 species